CGCCGCCCUUGUCGACCAGUUGUUUGUGUGUGUCGGUGAAUAUGUCCUUCGGGGUCUUGUUCUCCUUGUUAUAACGAGCGAAGAAGUGGAUCGGCAUGGAAUGCUUGACAAACUGAAGAAACACCCAUGGUUCAAAAAUCAAAUGUAAGUUUUUUAUUAUUACCCAUUGCUGAUUUAAACUUAUGCGAACAUAGCAAUUACCUCGUACCACUUGAUUUCCCAUUGCAUUUGUAAAGCAGCACCAGGGAUGAGCCAAGGCUUAUGGUCACCAAGCAUCGCGGCGAGGUGCAAUGCACUAUUCCCCUUCUCAUCCACCGCUCGGAAAACACUGUCUUUCAUUAUAUUUUUCUUAAGCAAGAGCUGGUAAACGUGAGGUUGCCGAUUCUCCACCGCCAGCAACACUAUGUUCUUGUUUUCCGAAUUCAUUUCAUGGAUUGCAACUGGGAAACGUUGUAGGAUUUGAUCCACCAUCUCUGUGAUUCCACUCUUUGCGGCUAUUAGUAUGGGUGUCUCUCGUUUUGCCACUUCUUUAGUUUUCUUCUUCUCUCCUGCUAGUUUAGUUAAUUUUUCCAGUGUUCAACAAAUUGAAAUCAAUAAAUUACUUUACAAGCUUGAUACAUGUGCCACUAGUAUUUUAUAUUUUACCUUCCAAAGUUUUUCCCUUGCUUUGGUCACGUUGUUUAGCUGGGUCUGAAUCAUCAAUAAGCAUUUUAAUGUCACCAUCUUCAGUGAAUUCAUAAGGCUUUAUCUCAUCGGCAUCAUAUAAUGAUAGCUGAGGUCUACAUCCAUUGUCUUCAUACUGGUAAAUAGAAACAUGUUGUAGAAGCUGAUUCAUGACCUGAACUGCCCAAGUAUGCUUCUGUUUCUUCUCCCUUAACUUCCUAAUUCUCCGUGAUCCUUAUAAACAGGCAGCAUUAAUGAAUUAUCAAAGAGAUGUUAUGAUUAGUAAGUGAGUAAAAGAGACCCGAAAUCCAGUCUAGCUCGACCUACCUAAUCCUAGUAUAACCAUCAUUGCUUUGGAUAACAGUUUGACAAAAUCAACUAAGGUAACAUAAUUGGAAGGAAAGAAUUGAUGUCCAUCUCCAUGGCGUCUUCCGUCCUCUGUACAAGUAAGUUACAAGACAAGAUUAUUUCAUUAGAUGCCUGCAAACCGCAGGGUGGUUAAACAGAGUUAAACAUGUAGAUGUUGCUGAUUUAUGGUUAUGGUACUGUUAAACAUGUGUUUUUUUGGUAAGAAUGGCUACCACAUAAUGAUAUUGAUUUAACGUUUAGUAGAGUAAUAUUAGAUGACAGCCUGUUAUCUCUUUCCUUUGUGAUUUCCUGCUGAGGUGUGUGGGUGAUUUCAAGGUGUUGGGUUUCUUAAUUUGAUCUUAUGCAUUUUGUUUUGUGGUUUCGAUGCUUUCUCCAUCAUUGAUGUUCACUAUGGACUUUUGCCUCAAUAUCAACAUAUGGCAGGCUAAACAAAUAUUUGGAGGUUUAGAAACUACAAUAGGUCCUAUUGCAUCAUAGUAUUUGGAGUCAAAAUCAGAAAAAUAUUUCUAUGCAAUGCAGCUAAUAAGUAACACAUAAGAUCCCAGUUCCUAGUUGUUUAUUUGGUGUCUAAUUUAGAUAUCCAUGUUCAAAACCCUUUGAUCUUAGGAUCAAAUUCUUAAUGUAUCCUUUCUCAUCCUGUAAUGACUAAUAGAUUCGAAUGAUUGUUAUUCCACAGAUCCAUCAGGAAAAAGAGUAGACAACGGAUUGCUCACCUUUCGGUACUGUCUCAGAGGUGACAUUAGGAGCUUCAAUAUUUUCAUCCGAACCUCCUCCUUGGUUUGUCUUCCGUGAACUUCGUUUUGUCACUGGAAAAUGUAAUAACAUUGAAGUGUCCAAAAGAUGAAAUAGGAAAUAGUAAUACUUGAAUGGAACUUAAAAAUAGCAUCCCCGAUGUCACAUUGUUCUAUUAGUCUCCUUAGCUUACCUACUUGAACCAGCUGCUUUAGUAGGUGAAAUAAGUGCAUGCAUGUUUGGUAAUUGCCAGGAUAACUAAUUCUCAUCUUUUCCUUGGAUUGACCUUUGCUUGAAGAUUGUUUGAAUGAAGUUUCCACCUUAAGCGGUUCCACAAUUAUACCUUCCAAAUAAAAAUCCAUUUGUUCACAGUAGUAAUGUUUGGUCUCUUGAAGUUACAAAUUUUAAGCUUUUGACAAUGAAAAAUAUGAAUUAUUUUCGUGUUUUAUGAAAGUUAAAACUAUCGACUAGCACUUACAAUUAUAGAUAAGAUGGCUGCAACGACCAAGAUGGCUACCGCUUCUGAAGGCAGUAGGGUUGCUAGCCAAGAGAUGCAGGGCUGAUAUCCCAUUCUCGUUUACGUAGUUGACAAGAUCUUCAUAAAGGUAAAUGAUUUGAAAUGCCAAAUCUGUGGAUCACAAUAUAGUUAAUACAAUGUAGUUUAUGCUAAUAUGUUUGAGAAAAGAGUUUGGGAAAUUCUUACCAAAAUAGUCUCCAGAUAUGGCACAGUGGAGAACAUUUUCGCCAUCCUUUCUUCUACAGUAAGAAUAGCCUUCUUCUUGGCUUUGACAGUAAGAGUUAAGACAAAGGAAAGCCUCUUUCUUGCCAUAAAGAGCUGCCAUGAAUUGCGGGGUUUCUCCGACGUUGUUUCGGAUUUCAAGCAAUGAUGAGUCUACUCGCAAUAUGCAUUGGCACAUCCUUACAUUCCCUAGUGAAGCCGC
rnacentral:lncRNA from 1 species